rnacentral:lncRNA from 1 species
UAUAGAGUUAGACUGGUAUACUAUCGGUAGUAUGGAGGCUUCCGUGUUACCAAGUUAUUUUCAAUGAUGCAGCUUCCAAAUCGACUAUCGACUCCGUUAGACUUGAUCUACACUAUUAAAAAUAUUUGAAAACUAAAUUUCAUAAUUUUUCGACAUCAUUUGGCUAGUGAUCAAAAGGUCUCAAAAUUGACAAUUUUAAUGGUAGAUAUGAUGCGUUUGUGAAUUUAACGGUGUAAAACAAUUCAAAUCUGAUGAAAUUUUUAUAGAAAAUUCUUUUCACUAUUUAAAGUAAGAUAAGUAUCCUUGAUCUUAAAUUCAAGUUUUUUAUCAUCAUUUUUUAGGAAAUUUUUAUUUUCUGCCGUUCAUUUUUAGACUAUCGUUUGAUAGGUAAAUGAUGCCGAAAAUUUAUGACAUUUAGUUUCCAAAUACUUUUAAUAGUGUAGAUCAAGUCUAAAGGAGCCGAUCGUCGAUUUGGAAGCCGUAUCAUUGAAAACAACUUGGUAGCACGAAGGCCUCCGUACUACCGAUUGUGUACCAGCUUAGCUCUAUAUAUAUAUAUAGAAUUAGGCUGGAAUACUAUUAAUAGUAAAACGCUCUUUUUGCUAUCAAGUUUUUAACCCUUGGAUGAAAAAUUGUAGGGUCAGGAUGAUAUUAGUCGGUUAGAGUUGAGUAGUCCCCCUAGGGUUGAGUGGUCCCCACAGGGUUAUAGUAUUUAAUCCAAUGGUUAGAAAUGAUGAAAAGAGUUGAUCCAAAGGCUAAAAAACUGGUAGCAAUAAUGGGAUACUCUUUUCAUCAUUUCUAACAAUUGGAUUAAAUACUAUAA